CAGUCGCCGCGGUAAUACGAAGGGUGCAAGCGCUAAUCGGAAUUACUGGGCGUAAAGCGUGCGUAGGCGGUGAGUUAAGUCUGCUGUGAAAUCCCCGGGCUCAACCUGGGAAUGGCAGUGGAUACUGGCUCGCUAGAGUGUGUCAGAGGAUGGUGGAAUUCCCGGUGUAGCGGUGAAAUGCGUAGAGAUCGGGGGGAACAUCAGUGGCGAAGGCGGCCAUCUGGGACAACACUGACGCUGAGGCACGAAAGCGUGGGGAGCAAACAGGAUUAGAUACCCUGGUAGUCCCUGUCUCAUACAC
rnacentral:rRNA from 1 species